AUAAAGAUGAAAAUGUUCUAGAGUGUGUAUUAUAUAAUUUCCAUAUACCCAGCGGAAGCAGAAAGAUGUUGUCUGCCGCGGCUGGGUCUUGAACCCGCGACCUUCGAAUUACUAGAUCGACGCUCUACCAACUGAUUUAUAAUUUCAUAAAUUCAUAAUUUCCAGUCUGACCGUGUAGCUCAGUUGGUAGAGCGUCGAUCUAGUAAUUCGAAGGUCGCGGGUUCAAGACCCAGCCGCGGCAGACAACAUCUUUCUGCUUGCGCUGGGUGUGGAAAUUAUAUAAUACACACUCUAGAACAUUUUCAUCUUAACAUAUUACAGAGUGUA